UAGGGAAUCUUCGGCAAUGGACGAAAGUCUGACCGAGCAACGCCGCGUGAGUGAAGAAGGUUUUCGGAUCGUAAAACUCUGUUGUUAGAUAAGAACAAGGACGUUAGUAACUGAACGUCCCCUGACGGUAUCUAACCAGAAAGCCACGGCUAACUACUUGCCAGCAGCCGCGGUAAUACGUAGGUGGCAAGCGUUGUCCGGAUGUAUUGGGCGUAAAGCGAGCGCAGGCGGUUUCUUAAGUCUGAUGUGAAAGGCCCCGGCUCAACCGGGGAGGGUAAUUGGAAACUGGGAGACUUGAGUGCAGAAGAGGAGAGUGGAAUUCCAUGUGUAGCGGUGAAAUGCGUAGAUAUAUGGAGGAACAACAGUGGCGAAGGCGGCUCUCUGGUCUGUAACUGACGCUGAGGCUAGAAAGCGUGGGGAGCAAACAGG
rnacentral:rRNA from 1 species